AUUGAACGCUGGCGGCAGGCCUAACACAUGCAAGUCGAGCGGCGUGGGGACGGGUGAGUAACACGUGGGUAACCUCCCAUCAGAGGGGAUAACACUUGGAAACAGGUGCUAAACCGAUAUUGAUGGAUGGACCCGCGGUGCAUUAGCCAGUUGGUGAGGUAACGGCUCACCAAGGCCACGAUGCAUAGCCGCCCUGAGAGGGUGAUCGGACACACUACGACGUAGACAGGGCCCAGACUCCAACGGGAGGCAGGAGUAGGAGAUAUACGGCAAUGGACGAAAGUCGGACCGAGAAACGCCGCGUGAAGGAAGAAGGUUUGCGGAUCGUAAAACUCUGUUGUUAGAGAAGCGGUAGCUAACCAGAAAGCCACAGCUGACUACGUGCCAGGAGCCGCGGUAAUAG
rnacentral:rRNA from 1 species